rnacentral:rRNA from 1 species
GAUGAACGCUGGCGGCGUGCUUAACACAUGCAAGUCGAACGAUGAAGCCCAGCUUGCUGGGUGGAUUAGUGGCGAACGGGUGAGUAACACGUGAGUAACCUGCCCUUAACUCUGGGAUAAGCCUGGUAAACUGGGUCUAAUACCGGAUAGGAGCGUCCACCGCAUGGUGGGUGUUGGAAAGAUUUAUCGGUUUUGGAUGGACUCGCGGCCUAUCAGCUUGUUGGUGAGGUAAUGGCUCACCAAGGCGACGACGGGUAGCCGGCCUGUGAGGGUGACCGGCCACACUGGGACUGAGACACGGCCCAGACGCCUACGGGAGGCAGCAGUGGGGAAUAUUGCACAAUGGGCGAAAGCCUGAUGCAGCGACGCCGCGUGAGGGAUGACGGCCUUCGGGUUGUAAACCUCUUUCAGUAGGGAAGAAGCGAAAGUGACGGUACCUGCAGAAGAAGCACCGGCUAACUACGUG